rnacentral:rRNA from 1 species
UGUUCUAAGGGCUGUGAAGCCAGACCGGAAGGACUGGUGGAGCGCUUAGAAGUGAGAAUGCCGGUAUGAGUAGCGAAAGAGGGGUGAGAAUCCCCUCCACCGAAUGCCUAAGGUUUCCUGAGGAAGGCUCGUCCGCUCAGGGUUAGUCGGGACCUAAGCCGAGGCCGAAAGGCGUAGGCGAUGGACAACAGGUUGAUAUUCCUGUACCACCUCCUCACCAUUUGAGCAAUGGGGGGACGAAGGAGGAUAGGGUAAGCGCGGUAUUGGAUAUCCGCGUCCAAGCAGUUAGGCUGGGAAAUAGGCAAAUCCGUUUCCCACAAGGCUGAGCUGUGAUGGCGAGCGAAAUAUAGUAGCGAAGUUCCUGAUUCCACACUGCCAAGAAAAGCCUCUAGCGAGGUGAGAGGUGCCCGUACCGCAAACCGACACAGGUAGGCGAGGAGAGAAUCCUAAGGUGAUCGAGAGAACUCUCGUUAAGGAACUCGGCAAAAUGACCCCGUAACUUCGGGAGAAGGGGUGCUCUGUUAGGGUGCAAGCCCGAGAGAGCCGCAGUGAAUAGGCCCAGGCGACUGUUUAGCAAAAACACAGGUCUCUGCGAAGCCGUAAGGCGAAGUAUAGGGGCUGACGCCUGCCCGGUGCUGGAAGGUUAAGAGGAGCGCUUAGCGUAAGCGAAGGUGCGAAUUGAAGCCCCAGUAAACGGCGGCCGUAACGAUAACGGUCCUAAGGUAGCGAAAUUCCUUGUCGGGUAAGUUCCGACCCGCACGAAAGGCGCAACGAUCUGGGCACUGUCUCAACGAGAGACUCGGUGAAAUUAUAGUACCUGUGAAGAUGCAGGUUACCCGCGACAGGACGGAAAGACCCCGUGGAGCUUUACUGCAGCCUGAUAUUGAAUGUUGGUACAGCUUGUACAGGAUAGGUAGGAGCCUUGGAAACCGGAGCGCCAGCUUCGGUGGAGGCAUCGGUGGGAUACUACCCUGGCUGUAUUGACCUUCUAACCCGCCGCCCUUAUCGGGCGGGGAGACAGUGUCAGGUGGGCAGUUUGACUGGGGCGGUCGCCUCCUAAAAGGUAACGGAGGCGCCCAAAGGUUCCCUCAGAAUGGUUGGAAAUCAUUCGCAGAGUGUAAAGGCACAAGGGAGCUUGACUGCGAGACCUACAAGUCGAGCAGGGACGAAAGUCGGGCUUAGUGAUCCGGUGGUUCCGCAUGGAAGGGCCAUCGCUCAACGGAUAAAAGCUACCCCGGGGAUAACAGGCUUAUCUCCCCCAAGAGUCCACAUCGACGGGGAGGUUUGGCACCUCGAUGUCGGCUCAUCGCAUCCUGGGGCUGUAGUCGGUCCCAAGGGUUGGGCUGUUCGCCCAUUAAAGCGGUACGCGAGCUGGGUUUAGAACGUCGUGAGACAGUUCGGUCCCUAUCCGUCGCGGGCGCAGGAAAUUUGAGAGGAGCUGUCCUUAGUACGAGAGGACCGGGAUGGACGCACCGCAGGUGUACCAGUUGUUCUGCCAAGGGCAUCGCUGGGUAGCUAUGUGCGGACGGGAUAAGUGCUGAAAGCAUCUAAGCAUGAAGCCCCCCUCAAGAUGAGAUUUCCCAUUCCGCAAGGAAGUAAGAUCCCUGAAAGAUGAUCGGGUUGAUAGGUCUGAGGUGGAAGUGUGGCGACACAUGGAGCUGACAGAUACUAAUCGAUCGAGGGCUUAACC